rnacentral:rRNA from 1 species
AUUGAACGCUGGCGGCAUGGCUAAAACAUGCAAGUCGAACGCGAAAGAGGAGCAAUUCUCGAGUAGAGUGGCGAAAGGGUGAGUAAUACGUUCCUACGUGCCUUGAGGUCAGGGGUAGCCAGGGGAAACUCUGGGUAAUACCUGAUGUGGUCUCCGGAUCAAAGGCUUGCCGCCUCAAGAGCGGGGAACGUCCUAUCAGCUAGUUGGUGAGGUAGUGGGUCACCAAGGCGAAGACGGGUAGCGGGUGUGAGAGCACGGCCCGCCACAUCGGAACUGAGACACUGUCCGGACUCCUACGGGAGGCUGCAGUAACGAAUCUUCCGCAAUGCGCGAAAGCGUGACGGAGCGAUGCCGCGUGCAGGAUGAAGCCCCUCGGGGUGUAAACUGCUGUCAGGGAUUAGCAACACAAUGAGCAGUCCCAAAGGAAGAGACGACUAACUCUGUGCCAGCAGUCGCGGUAAUACAGAGGUCUCGAGCGUAGUCGG